rfam:Halanaeroarchaeum sulfurireducens strain HSR2, complete genome.
CCCGAUAGCCUCGGGACGGGAUGUGAUCCGCCUCGAGCGGAUUGAACCACCAA